GGCAAUCUCACCCUACUGUAUUGGAAUCACAUGUGGAGGUAAACACCAAACUGACCAUAGAUCAGCAUGUGGAGGCAAUCUCACCCUACUGUAUUGGAAUCACAUGUGGAGGUAAACACCAAACUGACCAUAGAUCAGCAUGUGGAGGCAAUCUCACCCUACUGUAUUGGAAUCACAUGUGGAGGUAAACACCAAACUGACCAUAGAUCAGCAUGUGGAGGCAAUCUCACCCUACUGUAUUGGAAUCACAUGUGGAGGUAAACACCAAACUGACCAUAGAUCAGCAUGUGGAGGCAAUCUCACCCUACUGUAUUGGAAUCACAUGUGGUUUUAUCUCCAUAGAACACAGGUAGAUUCUUCUGGUAUGCAGUUAAUCAUUUAAACAUGUUUGGCUUCCCAUAAUGCCAAUAUCUAUAAUACUCUCUCUCUCUCUCUCUGUAUGUGUGUGUGUGUGUAUAUAUCUCUCUCUCACACGUACUCUCGCUCACACACACACACACACACACACACACACACACCAAAUAUACAGAAUAUUCAAGCAUAACAGAGAGAGAAAGUCAUGUGGAAUGUGGUAUGGCUCAGACAAAGGAAAACAUGCUACAGAGGUGGAGCUACUGUAAUACAAUGUGGUCUGAGAAGAAGAAAGUAUUUGGCUUGCAGACAAGUGUCUGAGCUUGAUAUGAUUCUGGCCUGCCUGGAGGAAUUUUUUAAAAUAUCAAAACAAACUUACUGGGGACAGAGCACAUAUUUUUGGCUCAGUAUUCCAGUACAGCCUGUUUCUCAGCUUGUAAACUACCCCUUA